rnacentral:rRNA from 1 species
AUACGGAGGGCGCGAGCGUUGUUCGGAAUCACUGGGCAUAAAGCGGGUGUAGGCGGCCUGUCAAGUCAGAUGUGAAAGCCCACGGCUCAACCGUGGAAGUGCAUCUGAAACUGGCAGGCUCGAGUACCGGAGAGGGAAGUGGAAUUCCUGGUGUAGGGGUGAAAUCCGUAGAUAUCAGGAGGAACACCGGUGGCGAAGGCGACUUCCUGGACGGAUACUGACGCUGAGACCCGAAAGCGUGGGGAGCAAACAGGAUUAGAAACCCUAGUAGUCC